GAGCGGAUGAUGGGAGCUUGCUCCUGGAUUCAGCGGCGGACGGGUGAGUAAUGCCUAGGAAUCUGCCUGGUAGUGGGGGACAACGUUUCGAAAGGAACGCUAAUACCGCAUACGUCCUACGGGAGAAAGCAGGGGACCUUCGGGCCUUGCGCUAUCAGAUGAGCCUAGGUCGGAUUAGCUAGUUGGUGGGGUAAAGGCCUACCAAGGCGACGAUCCGUAACUGGUCUGAGAGGAUGAUCAGUCACACUGGAACUGAGACACGGUCCAGACUCCUACGGGAGGCAGCAGUGGGGAAUAUUGGACAAUGGGCGAAAGCCUGAUCCAGCCAUGCCGCGUGUGUGAAGAAGGUCUUCGGAUUGUAAAGCACUUUAAGUUGGGAGGAAGGGCAGUAAGUUAAUAUCUUGCUGUUUUGACGUUACCAACAGAAUAAGCACCGGC
rnacentral:rRNA from 1 species